rnacentral:lncRNA from 1 species
GGAGUCCCCUUUCUGGGGCCAGAAAGGGAGGGCUGAGGCUAGAGACCUUUGCAGUGCUAAGGGUGGGCUCUUGGACAUCUCUGUGUCUCUGGCAGCUGCCUCAUGUGCAGCUUCUGUUCAGUUCACAUUGAGUCCCACUAAUGCCUUUGUCCCUUUUGUCUGUUUUCUCUGUGCCUGCUGUUUCUAACAGCCCCACCUACGUCCACACCGAGCACACCAAAAUCGACAACGACUCCCUCAACACCAGAGACUACCACCACCACCACCACCAGCCCUCCGAGCACAACAACCACUGUUCCUGGACCAACAACUACUACCUCAACUCCUGGAAGCACACCUCCACCCACACCGAGCACACCACAAUCGACAACGACUCCCUCAACACCAGAGACUACCACCACCACCACCACCAGCCCUCCGAGCACAACAACCACUGUUCCUGUACCAACACCAACACCCACUUUGACUACUUCAAGCACAUCCUCACCAACACCAACAUACACGACCACCCUACCGACUCCAACCCCACCUACGUCCACACCGAGCACACCAAAAUCGACAACGACUCCCUCAACACCAGAGACUACCACCACCACCACCACCAGCCCUCCGAGCACAACAACCACUGUUCCUGGACCAACAACUACUACCUCAACUCCUGGAAGCACACCUCCACCCACACCGAGCACACCAAAGUCGACAACAACUCCCUCAACACCAGAGACUACCACCACCACCACCACCAGCCCUCCGAGCACAACAACCACUGUUCCUGGACCAACAACUACUACCUCAACUCCUGGAAGCACACCUCCACCCACACCGAGCACACCAAAGUCGACAACAACUCCCUCAACACCAGAGACUACCACCACCACCACCACCAGCCCUCCGAGCACAACAACCACUGUUCCUGUACCAACACCAACACCCACUUUGACUACUUCAAGCACAUCCUCACCAACACCAACAUACACGACCACUCUACCAACUCCAGGUAAUUCUCUGGCCUGUGCUGUUGUUUGUUCCCUUCCUGUGCUUGCCCUGAAGGUACAUGAGCACCUCAAAUUCUUCCUCUCAGAUGGAUGUGGGGUGAGUGUAACUGCAGGGUAACAUUGGAACAGCCUUUGCUUAAAACUUGCCUUUCAUCUGGCUGUUUAAGAAGGAACAAGGUUUUGGAGUUCUGGGGAAAAAAAUCCUGGCUUCCCUGACAUAAUAGAUUACAAGGAGAAAUUUUGUGCUGCUGCCUAGCUUACACAGAUCUUGAACUGAUGGGAAAUCUUGCCUUUUUUGCUGCUGGACCUUGUUCUUCAGCUGGCCCAAAUGUAGCCACUGCAUGCCUUUAAUUUUUUUGGCUCUGGCAUUUUAGGCACUGUUUAAACAUAGCACUCUAGACGUUCUUCCCUCUCUCCUGUUUCUUUGUCCU